rnacentral:lncRNA from 1 species
ACAACCGAAGUGAUCCCUACCACCACCACUGCAACUCAAAACCCAGAACCACAAUUGCCCCAAAACACCAUCACCACCGACUUCACACCAGCAGUCUCACCUCAGCUACUCCAUCACCUAUUCAGGCUGAAGCUGAUAUUGUAGAAAUGGAUAUGCAGGAGUAUUCGUCAAAAAAAAGUAUACUCCCAUAUCAACACCCAUUCCUCCAUCAAUGAACAAACUUUUCACGAUAUAUAUCUGCCAACAAUACCUUAU